GAACCUCUCUCUCUCCUCUUCCUUUUCGUGGUAUGUAGAUUUAGGGUUUCCACCAAGUUUUCUCGUUUUUCCUUGAAGUUUCGUUUCUUGAGUUGAGUCUUGGCACUUUUCAGCUAUUUUUGUUGAUUUGGAAGUGCAUUUUGAAGGAAACUACUUUUUUUUAUCUGUUUUGACUACUACCUAAUUGAACACUUGCUCCGGAGGCCUUUAAGGCAUAGCUCUUUUUCACAACCGAGAAGGCAAGAAAUAUUGCAAAGGCAGCAAGAAGACUAACAGCUCAAUCUUCCCAAGAGACUGGAAAAACUAUACCCAUUUUUGAUAUCAGAUGGAAUGCCAGGUUACAAAUCUGAGUUUAAAAAUCAGCCUUUCUCCCAAGAGACUAAGAAUGAUUUCCUCCCUAAUCCUGGCACACCUGGUUGCUAUUAUGAAUUGCAGGAGUUGAAGAAAUCUAUGGAACAGUUUUCAGAGUUAAAGCAUGAUAAUUUUUAGCUAUUAAAUGUUCUCUAUCAUCAGAAACUGUACCUGUUAACCUAAAACUUUUCUCUGUAUUACUAUAGGAAACUGCCCUUUAAAUCAAUCUCAUUUUUUGUAUACUUAUUAUCUUCAA